GAACGCUGAAGAGAGGAGCUUGCUCUUCUUGGAUGAGUUGCGAACGGGUGAGUAACGCGUAGGUAACCUGCCUUGUAGCGGGGGAUAACUAUUGGAAACGAUAGCUAAUACCGCAUAACAAUGGAUGACACAUGUCAUUUAUUUGAAAGGGGCAAUUGCUCCACUACAAGAUGGACCUGCGUUGUAUUAGCUAGUAGGUGAGGUAACGGCUCACCUAGGCGACGAUACAUAGCCGACCUGAGAGGGUGAUCGGCCACACUGGGACUGAGACACGGCCCAGACUCCUACGGGAGGCAGCAGUAGGGAAUCUUCGGCAAUGGGGGCAACCCUGACCGAGCAACGCCGCGUGAGUGAAGAAGGUUUUCGGAUCGUAAAGCUCUGUUGUAAGUCAAGAACGAGUGUGAGAGUGGAAAGUUCACACUGUGACGGUAGCUUACCAGAAAGGGACGGCUAACUACGUGCCAGCAGCCGCGGUAAUACGUAGGUCCCGAGCGUUGUCCGGAUUUAUUGGGCGUAAAGCGAGCGCAGGCGGUUUGAUAAGUCUGAAGUUAAAGGCUGUGGCUCAACCAUAGUUCGCUUUGGAAACUGUCAAACUUGAGUGCAGAAGGGGAGAGUGGAAUUCCAUGUGUAGCGGUGAAAUGCGUAGAUAUAUGGAGGAACACCGGUGGCG
rnacentral:rRNA from 1 species